GACGAACGCUGGCGGCGUGCCUAAUACAUGCAAGUAGAACGCUGAAGCUUGGUGCUUGCACCGAGCGGAUGAGUUGCGAACGGGUGAGUAACGCGUAGGUAACCUGCAUGGUAGCGGGGGAUAACUAUUGGAAACGAUAGCUAAUACCGCAUAAGAGUAGAUGUUGCAUGACAUUUGCUUAAAAGGUGCAAUUGCAUCACUACCAGAUGGACCUGCGUUGUAUUAGCUAGUUGGUGAGGUAACGGCUCACCAAGGCAACGAUAACGAGCAGACCUGAGAGGGUGAUCGGUUACACUGGGACUUAGACACGGCCCAGACUCCUACGGGAGGUAGCAGUAGGGAAUCUUCGGCAAUGGACGGAAGUCUGACCGAGCAACGCCGCGUGAGUGAAGAAGGUUUUCGGAUCGUAAAGCUCUGUUGUAAGAGAAGAACGAGUGUUAGAGUGGAAAGUUCACACUGUGACGGUAUCUUACCAGAAAGGGACGGCUAACUACGUG
rnacentral:rRNA from 1 species